AAAGAAUUAGUUAAAAAAUAACAUUAAAUUGUCAAUUUAAAAUUAUUGAAAAUAAUAUUUUUUC
rnacentral:tRNA from 1 species